rnacentral:rRNA from 1 species
CGGGCCUACGGGGGGCAGCAGUGGGGAAUAUUGCACAAUGGGGGAAACCCUGAUGCAGCAACGCCGCGUGAAGGAAGACGGUUUUCGGAUUGUAAACUUCUUUUCUUAGUGAAGAAGCAAGUGACGGUAGCUAAGGAAAAAGCAUCGGCUAACUCCGUGCCAGCAGCCGCGGUAAUACGGAGGAUGCGAGCGUUAUCCGGAUUUAUUGGGUUUAAAGGGUGCGUAGGCGGAUCGUUAAGUCAGUGGUCAAAUUGAGGGGCUCAACCCCUUCCCGCCAUUGAAACUGGCGCUCUUGAGUGGAAGGG